GCCAGGCAUAGUGGCAUGCACCUGUAUUCCCAGCUACUUAGGAGGCUGAGGUAGGAGGAUCACUUGAGCCCAGGAGUUCUGGGACGUAGUGUGCUAUGCCAAUCAGGUGUCCACACUAAGUUCGGCAUCAGUAUGGUGAGCUCCCAGGAGGGGAGACCACCAGGUUACCUAAGGAUGGGUGAACUGGCCCAGGUUGCAAAUGGAGCAGGUUAAUGUCCCAUGCUAACCAGUAAUGAGAUUGCAUCUAUGAAUAGCCACUGCACUCCGACCUGGUUCACAUAGUGAGACCCAUCUCU
rnacentral:SRP_RNA from 1 species